GUCCUCGUAGCUUACAACAAAGCGUAGCACUGAAGAUGCUAAGACGGAUGCCCUGCACCCGCGGACA
rnacentral:tRNA from 1 species